AAGACUAUAGACCUGCGGAGUACCUGCGGAGGGAUCAUUAGUGAACGCCCUCACGGGCUUAUAACUAUUCCAAACCUCUGUGAGCCGUGCCCUUCGGGGCUAUUUUACAAACAUGGUGUAAUGAACGUCAUAUAUCAUAACAAAACAAAACUUUCAGCAACGGAUCUCU
rnacentral:misc_RNA from 1 species